UGCUUCUAUGACGUUAGCGGCGGACGGGUGAGUAACACGUGGGCAACCUGCCUGUAAGACUGGGAUAACUUCGGGAAACCGAAGCUAAUACCGGAUAGGAUCUUCUCCUUCAUGGGAGAUGAUUGAAAGAUGGUUUCGGCUAUCACUUACAGAUGGGCCCGCGGUGCAUUAGCUAGUUGGUGAGGUAACGGCUCACCAAGGCAACGAUGCAUAGCCGACCUGAGAGGGUGAUCGGCCACACUGGGACUGAGACACGGCCCAGACUCCUACGGGAGGCAGCAGUAGGGAAUCUUCCGCAAUGGACGAAAGUCUGACGGAGCAACGCCGCGUGAGUGAUGAAGGCUUUCGGGUCGUAAAACUCUGUUGUUAGGGAAGAACAAGUACGAGAGUAACUGCUCGUACCUUGACGGUACCUAACCAGAAAGCCACGGCUAACUACGUGCCAGCAGCCGCGGUAAUACGUAGGUGGCAAGCGUUAUCCGGAAUUAUUGGGCGUAAAGCGCGCGCAGGCGGUUUCUUAAGUCUGAUGUGAAAGCCCACGGCUCAACCGUGGAGGGUCAUUGGAAACUGGGGAACUUGAGUGCAGAAGAGAAAAGCGGAAUUCCACGUGUAGCGGUGAAAUGCGUAGAGAUGUGGAGGAACACCAGUGGCGAAGGCGGCUUUUUGGUCUGUAACUGACGCUGAGGCGCGAAAGCGUGGGGGAGCAAACAGGAUUAGAUACCCUGGUAGUCCACGCCGUAAACGAUGAGUGCUAAGUGUUAGAGGGUUUCCGCCCCUUUAGUGCUGCAGCUAACGCAUUAAAGCACUCCGCCCU
rnacentral:rRNA from 1 species